GUAAAUUUAGUCACAACUUUGAGUAAGGAAGUUCCAUCCAGCAGCGUUCAGGAUUGAACUAGUUUAGUAUUAUGGACGACUUGGUAAUAGGCAUCGAUCUGGGUACAACAAAUUCCUGUGUUUCCAUAUAUAAAAACAGAGUGAUAAAAAUUCUAGAAAACGAAACCGGUGGAAGAACCACACCUUCGUUCAUUUUUUUUACGCCUGACGGAGAAAUCGCCAUCGGAGAACAUGGUAGAAAGAUGUCUAUUCAUAAACCAGAAAAUGGAAUUUAUGAAAUGAAGCGGUUGGUGGGACGCCAGUUUGACGAUCCACAACUCCAAAAGAGCUUGAAGUAUUUUCCUUUCAGGGUAACAGCGAGCCCCUCAAACUUUCCGCUGGUUUCUGUUAAACAAAAACAGGUAAGAAUGAAGAAGUCUCCUCAAGAAUUGUACACCGUGCUACUGAAAGCGCUAAAAAAAUAUACUGAAGAAAAACUCAAACAAACUGUCAACAAAGCGGUGAUAACUGUUCCUGCUUAUUUCAACGUCACCCAGCGAGAGGUAACGUUAGAGGCGGCAAAAGACGCCGGAUUUACAGUCUUGAAACUUUUAAACGAGCCUACUGCUGCCGCUUUGGCUUACUACUUUGACAAUGACAUCGAAGAAACACACCGUUGCUUGGUGUUCGAUUUAGGAGGUGGCACUUUCGAUGUGGCAGUGUUAGAGAAGCGUUUCGAAAACAUAGAAGUGAUUUGCGUAGCCGGAGACACCCAGUUAGGAGGACAUGACAUUGACACGUGUCUUUUGAAUUACGUUUACCGAAUACUUCGAACCCAGUAUGGCUACGACCCGGAAGCCGAUCCCGACGAUAAACGAAUAUUACGCAACAAAUGCGAAAAUGCGAAAAAGGAACUAUCCACAAUUCCGAAAACCUUGAUAACGUUCAACGGAAUGGUCCCUAACUAUAAUAAAAUCACCAUCAGUCUUACGAGAGAACAGUUCGAAGAAAUAGCGGACAAGUUAUUUGAAAAAACCAUAGCCGUUCUGGACAAAUGCUUAAAAAUGUCGAAAAUUUCGAAACAAUCCAUCCAUGAAGUGAUUUUGUGUGGUGGUUCCACCCGCAUACCGAAAAUUCAAAAACUGGUUUCUGAUUAUUUCGAAGGAAAAGAAUUGAACAAGUUCGUCAAUCCCGAUGAAUGUGUGGCUGAAGGAGCAGCCUUACAAGCGGCCAUGUUGUCCACGUGUCAAAAACAAGAAAUCCAAGAAAUUCGCAUGAUCGAUGUUGUUCCUUUAUCUAUCGGUGUUCAGGGGACGACUUUCUGUCACAACAUGUUGUUUCUUAUUAAGAGGGGCACGAAGCUACCCACGAGCGCAAGCCAAACUUACAUAAACAUAGAAACUGAUGAAACCACCUUUUCGUUUGAAAUAUAUGAGGGAGAACGGUUAGAUGUUAGAAAAAAUCGCCACUUAGGCACAAUCUCACUAACUAACGUAGAAAAGGCACCACCUCUUCAGAAACAGGUAAUUUUAACAUUGUUCAUCGACCAAAACGGUAUACUAACCGCAGAAGCCACGGAAACGUUCCGAAAUAAUACAAAAACGGUAAAAGUAAAUUACACUCGCGGAGACAGGAGUGAUGGGGAUAUUCAAAAUUCUUUACUGGAUGCUGCAGAAAACCAAAAAAGUGAUAAAGAAUUUAUACAGUUUGUUCAGUAUAAGGGUUAUUUGAUACAAUAUUGUAUAGGUGUUAUGUUCAACUUGGAUGAAAAAAUGUUAACAGAUAGAUACGCAGAAUUGUACAACUUUUGUAAAGUUACUAAGAAAACGGCAGAAACUUUAGAAACGUGUGAUGAAGUUCGCACGAAGGAACUUAUUGAAGAAUGUAAACGACGGUGUGAAAACAUAAUAAGAUCUUAUCGUUUUAGUGAUAUACCCAGGGAUUGUGAUUAUGUGAAAUGGUCGUAAUUUGGACUUUGUGAACAUUUACGAAUGGAUUUUUUUAUUAAUAUUUAAUAAACGAAGAUGUGUACUUUAAAAUGGUGCCUUAUAUUUAUACACAACUACACGAGCAAAAAAUACAAACACUAAAAUUAUUAGACAUUCACCCUAUUAUUUAUAAACCGUUCAGAAUGUUUCUAGGCAAAGCUAGGCCAUGUAAAUCUGCUAAUAUGGUUGCAACCGAUUUCGUAUAUGCAAAGAUACCUCAUGAAACACGAUAUUUAUCAUAUUAGGUAAAGUUGUUUUUAAUGUAAAGUUACAAAAACCUAACAAAAACUGUAACAUUGUUGCCAGUAAUUUGACACUUUGUGUUUUCCAUUCUAAUAAGUUCAAUUCAAAGCAAUGACGUAAACAAUUAUUAUUUUAGAAUUUAAUAAACAUAAACUGUUAUAAAGUCUACCUGAUUAAAAACUAAACAAGAAUUCUAUAUAUACUUCGAUGAUGUUGGAAAUUUUUUCUAAACAAAAUACCAUAUGUAACACUUUACUCAAAAAUUUGUGAAGUAAAUAUGCAGCAAGAUCGAGAACUAUAGUAUAAUUUAAACAAUUUCUCAAAUUAAGAAAAAGAUGCUCUGGUGCGUUUACGCUUUAGUAUUUUAUUCCAUUUCGAUUAUUUCACUGACUUUGGAUCAGAUUCAUCUAGUGAAAUACUCAAAGAAGAAAUGUCUUGAUAUGAAAAAUUUCCCAUAUGUGGUUUUCCAGUCUGAAAAAAUAAGUUUUCACAAUGUCCACAAGAAUUUUGCCACAUGUUUGGAGUACAUUUAAAAAGAGCUUGAAGCCAUAAAUUUUCCACCCUAUCCUUGGAUGAAGGCGGAGAAUAUGUGUUGUAGUAAUUGUUACAAAACCCCCACGCCAUUUCCUUCGGGUUGUAUUGACAAUUGUAUGGAGAUCAGGACACUCCAGACGACCACGCAAGAUUUUGUAUAAAAACAACACUGAUUACCGUUUGCGGCGAGACAUUAACGAAUCCAUUCAGCAACAGAUCGUGCGGAAAACCCCUAGGAGGAUAAAUAUUAUCACUGAACAAUACCAAUGAUUUUGGAAAUCGACUUAGACUUUUUUCAAGAGCGACUACCUAUAUAAAUUAUACUGUGGUGACCACACAAGUCGAGAUCUGACAAAAGUUAUGUACAAUAAUUUGAGAGUUUCAGUAUCACUGAAUGCAUGUUCAUUGAGAAUAACAAAACCCAGAGAACGAAAAGCUGAGCUAGCAAUAGAUUCAAUAUAAUAUUUUAUUUAAGGUAAAGAAUAUAAAAAUAUAAAAUUA